rnacentral:lncRNA from 1 species
ACUGGAAUCAGCAACUCCCUGGAACUCGGGCCUCUGGCCCCGUCCCUCUUUUCUCCGGCAGGGACGCAGGAUGCCUUGGUGCACUCUAGAGACGGGGACCGGAGGGUGCAGCGCGCCUGGGAGAAAAAUCAAGACGUUCCCUUCAGUCCUCCCUCGGUGUUAACGUCUGCUCCAGCUCGCAGCCCGCUGCUGGGCAUUUUAUUAAUGCUUUUACGAGUUAGAAGAGUUGGGAUAAUUUGCCAUCUGGAGUUUCUCUGCCUUGCUGAUCUGAGCUCAGACCUGCCAAUUUACCAGAGAUAAUUGAUAACACCCUGUAACAGCUGAGAGGAAAAUGGAAGAAACGGAGAUACUUUUAGUGAAGCAGAAUAAACCACUGAACAGGAAAAAUGAGGAAGCUGUGAGUACCAGUGGAAGGAACGAGCCAGGAAGAGGGACUGGAACCAUCUCAGAAGCCAUGCCCCUCAGGCUGGAACUUGCCCUGUCUCCUCGCAGAUGAGCUACCUCUUGUGUUUAAGAAUUAAAGGAAGAUGAGCUAGGAAUCAAGAAAUACGCAGAACUGAUUCCUGUCACUGGCGCCACCCUGCCACUUGCCCAGAGCUGUGGUAUAAAUUUUUUUAAUAGGCUGAAAUAAAAAUAUGAAUAGCAUUUUGGUAUUAAGCAUUAAAUUGAUAAAGGCUAUGAGAUACACCUGCUCUCAACCAUGUUAAUUUUUUAUUAUUGGUAUUAAUAAAUUAUUACUUACUAACAUAUUAACAAGAAUUGCAUUGAGAAACAAAGCAUCCACAGGCCAAAUCUUCUGAAUUUCAAAUGUUUAUAUUAAUGCGUUGUAUUCUAGAAAAGUAGAAUUGUCUUAAGUAGCUUUGUAAUAUAAAGUCAUCUAUCAGCCCAUUACACCUAUUAGAAUGUUUUAACCUUUAUUUCCCACUUUUUUGUUUCUAGACUGAGUGUACUUGGUCUGGUAUUUGUGGCAUAACUUACGGAACACAUAAGAAUGAUACAGAUACUAUUUAAUGAUGACCUAAUACAAGCUUAGAUAGCUAAGGUGAAAGCUUCUAUGGCCUUAACAUUUUCCUCUUGAAGAAUGUAUUUUCUGUAAUAAAAUACAGUGGCUACUUGAAAUCUAUAAACUUAUGUGAGGUCUGGAUAAAUCUGAGCAACUUUCUUCUUUGUGCUCCAGGAACCUACGCACUAUAUAUAUAAAUAAAGCUUAAGUAAACA